CCUACGGGAGGCAGCAGUGGGGGAUAUUGCACAAUGGGGGAAACCCUGAUGCAGCGACGCCGCGUGGGUGAAGAAGUAUUUCGGUAUGUAAAGCCCUAUCAGCAGGGAAGAAAGAAGACGGUACCUGACUAAGAAGCCCCGGCUAACUACGUGCCAGCAGCCGCGGUAAUACGUAGGGGGCGAGCGUUAUCCGGAUUCACUGGGUGUAAAGGGAGCGUAGACGGCCGUGCAAGCCAGGAGUGAAAGCCCGGGGCCCAACCCCGGGACUGCUCUUGGAACUGGGCGGCUGGAGUGCGGGAGGGGCAGGCGGAAUUCCUGGUGUAGCGGUGAAAUGCGUAGAUAUCAGGAGGAACACCGGCGGCGAAGGCGGCCUGCUGGACCGCGACUGACGUUGAGGCUCGAAAGCGUGGGGAGCGAACAGGAUUAGAUACCCUAGUAGUC
rnacentral:rRNA from 1 species